rnacentral:misc_RNA from 1 species
GAUACCAGCUGGAAGUGUUCUAAGGUCUGCAUUGGCUGGGGGCCUAUCAUGUGCAUUCUCUUGUUCUCUAAUGCAUCCUGUUGAUACAAUAAAGGUAAGCUCUUCUCCUUGAAAAUGUGUAAUCAUGUACUAAUAUUUUUACAUAAAAUAUACCCAUGUAACAAAACUAACACAAGGGCCAAAAGCGAAAUUCUUUGGCUGCAAAGUGGAACUGCAAGAGCAGCCACUUCAUCGAAAUCUGUACUUACAUCAUCCGCAAGAGCAGCCAUUUUGUCAAGUCUACAACUUUGCUUUGGCUUAAUAGCAUAGCUGGUUGUACCUUUUAUGGAGAAAGGUGUGAUUAAAAGUUAAAAAACAUGAUGACAUCCUGCUUUGGUGGACCUACCUCUUUUGUACUGCUUUUCAAUCAAUGAUUGAGACCUUCUAUUGCAGAUCUUUUUCAAUGGGCAAUUAUGGGCACCAAAAAAUUAUGCGCUGCACUUUGACUUAUCAUUAGGCUUUUGUGCCAAUGAUUCAUUGGUCUAAUGGUUAAUGAUGAGGUGGGCUUGGGAGAGAUCCCAGGUUCGAGCCUGGGGGUUGUUGUAAGUGUACCGUUUGACCUGGGAUCUUACGGCUCGCUAUCUGGCUCCUGUGGUUUCUAGGCUAUUGCAGGGGUUCAGGGGGUGAUUAGUCUGGUUGGCUAACAACUGGGAUGCAUCUCCUGAAGACCAAAAAAAA